rnacentral:rRNA from 1 species
AGAGUUUGAUCCUGGCUCAGGACGAACGCUGGCGGCGCUGCUUAACACAUGCAAGUCGAGCGGUAAGGCCCUUCGGGGUACACGAGCGGCGAACGGGUGAGUAACACGUGAGCAAUCUGCCCUCCACAUCGGGAUAACCCCCGGAAACGGGAGCUAAUACCGGAUACGACCACUUCAGGCAUCUGAUGGUGGUGGAAAGUUCUGGCGGUGGAGGAUGAGCUCGCGGCCUAUCAGCUUGUUGGUGGGGUAAUGGCCCACCAAGGCUUCGACGGGUAGCCGGCCUGAGAGGGUGACCGGCCACACUGGGACUGAGACACGGCCCAGACUCCUACGGGAGGCAGCAGUGGGGAAUAUUGCGCAAUGGGCGAAAGCCUGACGCAGCAACGCCGCGUGAGUGAUGAAGGCCUUCGGGUCGUAAAGCUCUGUCGGAGGGAACGAAUGUUUCUGAGGUUAACAGCCUUAGGAAGUGACGGUACCCUCAAAGGAAGCACCGGCUAACUCUGUGCCAGCAGCCGCGGUAAUACAGAGGGUGCUAGCGUUGUUCAAUCAUUGGGCGUAAAGGGCGUGUAGGCGGUUUGUUAAGUCAUGUGUGAAAACCCGAGGCUCAACCUCGGGCCUGCAGUGGGUACGGGCAGACUAGAGUGCGGUAGGGGAGAUUGGAAUUCCUGGUGUAGCGGUGGAAUGCGCAGAUAUCAGGAGGAACGCCGAUGGCGAAGGCAGAUCUCUGGGCCGUAACUGACGCUGAGGAGCGAAAGGGUGGGGAGCAAACAGGCUUAGAUACCCUGGUAGUCCACCCCGUAAACGUUGGGAACUAGUUGUGGGGUCCAUUCCACGGAUUCGUGACGCAGCUAACGCAUUA